rnacentral:rRNA from 1 species
ACGGCGAGUGAAGCGGCAACAGCUCGAAUUUGAAAUCUGGCCUCGGCCCGAGUUGUAAUCUGUAGAGGACGCUUUUGGCGCGGUGCCUUCCGAGUGCCCUGGAACGGGACGCCACAGAGGGUGAGAGCCCCGUAUGGUCGGACACCAAGCCUGUGUAAAGCUCCUUCGACGAGUCGGGUAGCUUGGGAAUGCUGCUCUAAGCGGGAGGUAAACUUCCUCUAAAGCUAAAUAUUGGCCAGAGACCGAUAGCGCACAAGUAGAGUGAUCGAAAGAUGAAAAGCACUUUGAAAAGAGGGUCAAAUAGUACGUGAAAUUGUUGAAAGGGAAGCGCUCAUGACCAGACUUGCGCCGGGCUGAUCAUCCAGUGGUUUCCACUGGUGCACUCUGCCCGGCUCAGGCCAGCGUCGGCUGUUGCGGGGGGACAAAAGCUCUGGGAACGUAGCUCUCUCCGGGGAGUGUUAUAGCCCUCUGCAGAAUACCCCCGCGGCGGCCGAGGUCCGCGCCCUGCAAG